UACGGGGGGGCAAGCGUUGUUCGGAAUUACUGGGCGUAAAGGGCUCGUAGGUGGCCAACUAAGUCGGACGUGAAAUCCCUCGGCUUAACCGGGGAACUGCGUCCGAUACUGGUUGGCUUGAGUUUGGGAGAGGGAUGCGGAAUUCCAGGUGUAGCGGUGAAAUGCGUAGAUAUCUGGAGGAACACCGGUGGCGAAGGCGGCAUCCUGGACCGGUAUUGACGCUGAGGCGCGAAAGCCAGGGGAGCAAACGGG
rnacentral:rRNA from 1 species